rnacentral:rRNA from 1 species
UGGGGAAUCUUGCGCAAUGCGCGAAAGCGUGACGCAGCAACGCCGCGUGGGGGAAGAAGGCCUUCGGGUUGUAAACCCCUUUCAGGAGGGACGAAGGUGCGGCGGUGAACAGCCGUCCGCACUGACGGUACCUCCAGAAGAAGCCCCGGCUAACUACGUGCCAGCAGCCGCGGUAAUACGUAGGGGGCUAGCGUUGUCCGGAAUCAUUGGGCGUAAAGCGCGCGUAGGCGGCCCGGUAAGUCCGCUCUGAAAGUCCAGGGCUCAACCCUGGAAAGCGGGUGGAUACUGUCGGGCUAGAAUCCGGAAGAGGCGAGUGGAACUCCUGGUGUAGCGGUGGAAUGCGCAGAUAUCAGGAAGAACACCGAUAGCGAAGGCAGCUCGCUGGGACGGUAUUGACGCUCAGGCGCGAAAGCGUGGGGAGCAAACAG